rnacentral:rRNA from 1 species
GGGUCCCACCUCUUCCCAUUCCGAACAGAGAAGUUAAGCCCGCCUGCGCCGAUGGUACUGCAAUGCAAUGCGGGAGAGUAGGAGGCCGCCACUU